rfam:Heterocephalus glaber contig97319, whole genome shotgun sequence.
GGAUGUGAGGGUGAUCUGGCUGUGACAUCUGUCACCCCAUUGAUCGCCAGGGUUGAUUCGGCUGAUCUGGCUGGCUAGGCGGAGGGCCCCUUCCUCCCUCACCGCUCCAUGUGCGUCCCUCCCAAAGCUGUGCGCUCGGUUGAAGAGGACGACCACCCCCGAUAGAGGAAGACUGUUUCCUCAGUCAAGGGUAUACAAGUAGCUGUGCUCCCCUGCUAGAACCUCCAAACAAGCUCUUAAGAAUCACCCAACUGAGCCCUGUCCAAAUUCCUGACCCACAAAUCCUAGCUCACAAUCAAAUGGACCCAUGUUUAGG